AAGAAAUGUAAAGAAUGUGAGAAAGCUUCCAGUGCAAGCACUGGCCUUAUUCAGUAUUAGAGAAACCCUAUGAAUGUAAUAAAUGUGGGAGAGCUUUUCAGGGGAGUUCAGCUCUGGUAACAUCUCAGACUACCCCUGUGCAUAAGAAGCUCUAAUAAUGGGCUAUAUAUUCAGGCAAUUUCAUUAAGAAUUCAGGUCUCUUUCAACAGAUAAUAUGUUUGGAAAAGGACGCUACGGAAAGAAGCAUGAGAAAAGCUUCAAGGUCUUUUCCUCUUGACAUGGCAAUUUUUCCCCAUGUCAGACCCUUGUAUGGAGAUAAAUAACUAGUAGCGCAAUUGCUGGGUAGUUCUAUUUUUAAUUUUUUGAGGAACUUCCAUACUGUUUUCCAGAGUGACUGCGCCAAUUUACAUUCCCUCCAACAGUGCAUGAGCAUUCUCUUUUCUCCACAUCCUCACCAACUUAUUAUUUCUUGUCUUUUUUUUUUUUUCUUGUCCUUUUGACACCAGUCAUUCUCACUGGCAUGAGGUAACAUCCCAUUGUGGUUUUGACUUGCAAUUCUCUGAUAAUUUGUAUCUCUUGGUCAUCUGUAUGUCUUCUUUGGGAAAAUGUAUGUUUGCCUCCUCUGCCUGUGUUUUAUUUUUUAAGGUAGGCUCUGUGCCCAAUGUGGGGCUUGAACUUAAGACCCUGAGAUCAACAGUCACAUGCUCUACCAACUGAGUCAGCCAGGCACCCCAUCUGCGUUUUAACAUUUUCUCCCAUUCUGUAGGUACAGAAUUAUGGGAUGAAGUGGGCAAGGAAAGAGACAAAUAGAGCAACAAUCAAAGAGAGUUGGAUUGAAUAAUGAGAGUAACAAUGGGUGUCAAAAGUAGAUGAUGAUGAAAAUAAGCAGUAAGUCUGGGGAUCGCAGUUGAAAGUGACAAAGAAAAGUAAUUUGUUUUCUUUUUUUCUUUAAAGUUUAUUUACUUAUUGGCAGGGUGGGGGGAGCAGGUGCACACAAGCAGCGGAGGGGCAGAGAGAAAGUGACAGAGAAUCCCCUCACUGACUGUGCAGAGCCCAAUGCACGGCUUGAACUCACAAACUGUGAGAUCAUGACCUGAGCCGAAUUUGGACACUUUACCAACUGAGCCACCUAGGUGCCCUGAAAAAUUUGUUUUUAAUUGAUGGUCACGAUAAAUUCAAAUGUACUAGAGGGAACAGGGCCAAUAAGGAGAUAAUACUAAAAAGAGAAAUCUAAGAUAUUUUAGAAUCUUUUUUAACUAAAGACAGCAGGGACCAAGGGAAAAACCAAACAAACAGAGUUCGAUGAGUCUGAAAGAUGAGGCAGAUGAUGUAGCUGCCAUCACAGGAAACAGAAAAGAGGUACAAAAUGGCUUCAAAGGUCCUGGGAAAUUCAGAAAAGGUCAUUUUAAUACAAAAGAGUGAGUUCUGCUUUACAGAGCAAGUACUAAAUGUACAGUGGAGGUUAGGCUAUGGUUACAUAGGAUGAAAACAUAAAUAGCUUUACGUAAACUUUAUGAGAGCAGUCUGCAAAGGUUGUUCAGUGAGGUUAGGAAUGCUGUGCAGCUUCCUCACGAGUCAGAUAAUAGGGACGACAGCGUUAUGUUAUUCCGUAUCACGUCCUCUGCUAGUGCUGCCCAAGCUGGAAUGCUGUACUUGAGAGGACAGAUACUCAGUUGGAUUCAGCACCGUGUUUCUGUUUCAGGUGUUCCGAAUGCUUUUCAACCUAGAUAGCUGGCACAGCUUUCAGCCACCCUCUCUCAAGAUGGAUCCUGACGCUUACCUUGUUCACGAAUGGCCUGGAAGGCUACAUGUUUCUUGGCCUAGAAUAGCUGGUGGCUUCUGUGCUGCCUGGUGAGGAAAUUCUGAACACACUCCUAUUCCACCUGUCCUGGCUACAACCUGGAAACAAUUAAGAUAUGGUUGGGUUUGUGAAAGACUCAAUGAGUGAACCAGAAUUAAUACCUGAUUAUAAAGACACCUCAGGGAACAACUCUCUAGGCA